rnacentral:rRNA from 1 species
UGAGCAAUCUGCCCUUCUCUUCGGAAUAAGCGUUGGAAACGACGUCUAAUGCCGAAUACGACCUCCUUUCACAUGAUCGGAGGUGGAAAGCUCCGGCGGAGAAGGAUGAGCUCGCGGCCUAUCAGCUAGUUGGUGUGGGUAAUGGCCCACAAGGCGACGACGGGUAGCCGGCCUGAGAGGGUGACCGGCCACACUGGGACUGAGACACGGCCCAGACUCCUACGGGAGGNAG